rnacentral:tRNA from 1 species
GGUAAAAUGGCCGAGUUUAGGUGAUAAAUUGUAAAUUUAUUUACGAAAGUAAUUUCUUUUACCA